UCGGGAAUUUUGGGCAAUGGGGGAAACCCUGACCCAGCAACGCCGCGUGAAGGAUGAAGUAUUUCGGUAUGUAAACUUCGAAAGAAUAGGAAGAAUAAAUGACGGUACUAUUUAUAAGGUCCGGCUAACUACGUGCCAGCAGCCGCGGUAAUACGUAGGGACCAAGCGUUGUUCGGAUUUACUGGGCGUAAAGGGCGCGUAGGCGGCAUGACAAGUCACUUGUGAAAUCUCUGGGCUUAACCCAGAACGGCCAAGUGAUACUGUCGCGCUAGAGUGCAGAAGGGGCAAUCGGAAUUCUUGGUGUAGCGGUGAAAUGCGUAGAUAUCAAGAGGAACACCUGAGGUGAAGACGGGUUGCUGGGCUGACAAUGACGCUGAGGCGCGAAAGCCAGGGGAGCAAACGGGAUUAGAUACCCAAGUAGUCCCUGAGCGGGCUGGCAAGGCGCAU
rnacentral:rRNA from 1 species